rnacentral:rRNA from 1 species
ACUCAAAUGAAUUGACGGGGACCCGCACAAGUGGUGGAGCAUGUAGUUUAAUUCGAGGAUACGCGAAGAACCUUACCAAAACUUGACAUCCUCAGCAAAGCUAUGGAAACAUAGUGGAGGUUAUCUGAGUGACAGGUGGUGCACGGUUGUCGUCAGCUCGUGUCGUGAGAUGUUGGGUUAAGUCCCGCAACGAGCGCAACCCUUAUCUUUAGUUGCUAACAUUUAGUUGAGGACUCUAGAGAGACUGCCGUUGAUAAAACGGAGGAAGGUGGGGAUGACGUCAAAUCAUCAUGCCCCUUAUGUUUUGGGCUACAGACGUGCUACAAUGGCUAAUACAACGAGCAGCUAAACCGUAAGGUCAUGCGAAUCUCUUAAAAUUAGUCUAAGUUCGGAUUGAGGUCUGCAACUCGACCUCAUGAAGUCGGAAUCACUAGUAAUCCCGGGUCAGCAUACCGGGGUAAAUACGUUCUCGGGUCUUGCACACACCGCCCGU